GGCUAGGUGGCGGAGUGGUUAACGCGGUAGACUCGAAUCGUCAAGAUUGGCGAUGUUUAGAUAUCUACUUCCUUCGGGAGCGUCUGUUCGAAUCAGGCCCUAGUCG